CCUCCAUUCUUAACUGUUAAAUCACUAAAAUUCAGUCUCUUAUCCCGUCUCUCAUUCUUCAAUCCCUAAAGUCUCUCACUAUUCCCCCUCUCUCAUUCUCUUCGCCCAAAUGUAUGAAACAUAGCGAUUGUAGCAGGGUUCGUCGGCAAUUUCUUCGCACUCAGCUCAAUCGGCGGAUUCGUCGCCGGUCUUUGUACAGCAGGCCACGGUCAUCGCCGUUGUCACCGCUGCGGCCUCCAUCGUAGUCAUCGUCAAAGGUCGCGGUUGUGCCCUCAGCUCUGAUCCUUCUUCAUUGUUCGCAGGUCCAAGAGUUCAUCUUAAGAUGCAUCUAAGCUUUUCUUUGCUACAAGCCGGUUCAAGUAGGUUGUUCACCAGUAUACAAGAUAGAAAGAAAGCUUGGCAAAGGAGACUUUGGACAAGGAGCUUUAUGCGGAUAUUUAAAUUUCUUAUCCUUUAGGGUUCAGUCCAAAAGUUGCUCAAAGGCUUGUCGCUGCUCUGAGUUGUGACACUAUUAUACUUAUCUUUGUUGUUUAUUCAGCCAAAUAGGAUUUACCUUUAACUUAACACCGGAGAUCAUUCUUCAGGGGUGAGUAUGGCUUUUGGACAGCAUUCUCAGUACUGCUUAUUCUCCUUUUCUUCUUCUUUCCUAGUGAAAUGAAACUUCCAAUUAUUGCAUUAAUGAUGGUAAUACUGUCCCCUUAUCAAGUUUCAAACUUAAGGGGACAAAGGAGGGGGUCGUUCACUUCUUGUGUGGUAGAAUAACUUCACUUUUGUAAAAUAUUGUCUUUAUGUGAUCUGGUCCAACCUAUUCAUUUGCUGAUUUACAGUUUGACUGCUAUUACUUCACUUCUUGAGAAGGAUGAGGAUGAAGUUGGAAUCCUAUCAAAAUCCAUUGUGUUAUUCACAUUCUCUUCUACUUAAACAGGAAAUGUAGGGUAUAUUAUCUGUUGUAGGGUAUUCAGGCUGAAGGUUGUAUGAAUACAUACCACCACUGCCAUACUCUCCAAGCUCCUCAGUUGUUUGAGUUCUCGAAGAUUCACAAUACUACAAGGAAAAGUUAUGACUCUCAAUUCUCAUCGAGGGUGAAAAAUGAUAUUUCAUCAUCUAUGUUGCUUUAUAUUUUUCAUUUACAAUAUUUUUCAGUUAUGUAUACAGUUCAAUUAAUAUGUAGACGGUUGGUUGUACAUGAAUAUUGUUUGAUAUUAUUUGACAAAUAUUCAUUACAAUUAAUUUUCUUUUCAA